rnacentral:sRNA from 1 species
GGAAAGGAGGUGGUCCGAGGAUGUAUUUCCACAGGACGAGUGAGGUGGCUGGCCGCUAGGCAGCCCAUCGGGACUUCCUGGUGAAUCCCACCAGUCAUCGAGCCCGCGGGGGUCCGGAUUCGUCCACCGGACGCACACCCCGCGGGCUUCU